CCAGCUUUCUUCUGCUGAUUGAUUUAUUAUUAUUAUUAUUUUUUGUGUGCUUUCUCUCCCCGAGAUCUGCGAUGAGCUGGGAGUGAAGCGGCCAUCCUCCGUCAAGGUGUUCUCUGGCAAGACCCCCGGGCUGAGGAAGGGUCACUCCUCUGCAGGUGAACGCAGCUCCUCAGGGCUGCUGGAGUGGGAAUCCAAGAGCGAUGCUCUGGAAACCCUCGGAUUCCUCAACCACUACCAGAUGAAGAACCCCAAUGGGCCCUACCCCUACACGCUGAAGCUCUGCUUCUCCACCGCCCAGCACGCCUCCUAAGUGUACCCCCAUCCACGGGGCCCCUCCCGGCCGGACCCCCUGCCCUCUAUUUUUUUUUCUUUUUUUUUUUUUUAAAAAAAA